rfam:Gossypium raimondii chromosome 3, whole genome shotgun sequence.
AUCCCAUGUUGAGGGCAUUUACAUAGUAGCUCUUUGAACAUUUCCCAUGCAUCGUAUAAGGAUCCAUCCUUAAUUUGCUGAAAAGUGGUGAUCUCAUUACGCAACAU